rnacentral:rRNA from 1 species
GACGAACGCUGGCGGCGUGCUUAACACAUGCAAGUCGAACGGAAAGGCCCUGCUUUUGUGGGGUGCUCGAGUGGCGAACGGGUGAGUAACACGUGAGUAACCUGCCCUUGACUUUGGUAUAACUUCAGGAAACUGGGGCUAAUACCGGAUAGGAGCUCCUGCUGCAUUGUGGGGGUUGGAAAGUUUCGGCGGUUGGGGAUGGACUCGCGGCUUAUCAGCUUGUUGGUGGGGUAGUGGCUUACCAAGGCUUUGACGGGUAGCCGGCCUGAGAGGGUGACCGGCCACAUUGGGACUGAGAGACGGCCCAGACUCCUAAGGGAGGAAGAAGUGGGGAAUAUUGAACAAUGGGCGGAAGCCUGAUGCAGAAACGCCGCGUGCGGGAUGACGGCCUUCGGGUUGUAAACCGCUUGCGCCUGUGACGAAGCGUGAGUGAAGGUAAUGGGUAAAGAAGCACCGGCUAAAUACGUG